rnacentral:tRNA from 1 species
GGAGCUGUGGCUCAGUGGUAGAGCACUUGCCUGGCAUUCAUGAGGUCUUGGGUUCGAACCUCAGCACCA